rnacentral:rRNA from 1 species
CCUAGCAUCGUUUUAAUCGAUGGGGGGACGCAGUAGGAUAGGCGAAGCGUACGAUUGGAUUGUACGUCUAAGCAGUGAGAUUGAGUGUUAGGCAAAUCCGGCACUCUUAAGAUUGAGCUGUGAUGGGGAGAGGAAAUUGUUUCCUCGAGUCGUUGAUUUCACACUGCCGAGAAAAGCCUCUAGAUAGAUAAUAGGUGCCCGUACCGCAAACCGACACAGGUAGUCAAGAUGAGAAUUCUAAGGUGAGCGAGCGAACUCUCGUUAAGGAACUCGGCAAAAUGACCCCGUAACUUCGGGAGAAGGGGUGCUCUUUAGGGUGCAAGCCCAGAAGAGCCGCAGUGAAUAGGCCCAAGCGACUGUUUAUCAAAAACACAGGUCUCUGCUAAACCGUAAGGUGAUGUAUAGGGGCUGACGCCUGCCCGGUGCUGGAAGGUUAAGAGGAGUGGUUAGCUUCUGCGAAGCUACGAAUCGAAGCCCCAGUAAACGGCGGCCGUAACUAUAACGGUCCUAAGGUAGCGAAAUUCCUUGUCGGGUAAGUUCCGACCCGCACGAAAGGCGUAACGAUUUGGGCACUGUCUCAACGAGAGACUCGGUGAAAUCAUAGUACCUGUGAAGAUGCAGGUUACCCGCGACAGGACGGAAAGACCCCGUGGAGCUUUACUGUAGCCUGAUAUUGAAAUUCGGCACAGCUUGUACAGGAUAGGUAGGAGCCUUUGAAACGUGAGCGCUAGCUUACGUGGAGGCGCUGGUGGGAUACUACCCUAGCUGUGUUGGCUUUCUAACCCGCACCACUUAUCGUGGUGGGAGACAGUGUCAGGCGGGCAGUUUGACUGGGGCGGUCGCCUCCUAAAAGGUAACGGAGGCGCUCAAAGGUUCCCUCAGAAUGGUUGGAAAUCAUUCAUAGAGUGUAAAGGCAUAAGGGAGCUUGACUGCGAGACCUACAAGUCGAGCAGGGUCGAAAGACGGACUUAGUGAUCCGGUGGUUCCGCAUGGAAGGGCCAUCGCUCAACGGAUAAAAGCUACCCCGGGGAUAACAGGCUUAUCUCCCCCAAGAGUUCACAUCGACGGGGAGGUUUGGCACCUCGAUGUCGGCUCAUCGCAUCCUGGGGCUGUAGUCGGUCCCAAGGGUUGGGCUGUUCGCCCAUUAAAGCGGUACGCGAGCUGGGUUCAGAACGUCGUGAGACAGUUCGGUCCCUAUCCGUCGUGGGCGUAGGAAAUUUGAGAGGAGCUGUCCUUAGUACGAGAGGACCGGGAUGGACAUACCUCUGGUGUACCAGUUGUCGUGCCAACGGCAUAGCUGGGUAGCUAUGUAUGGACGGGAUAAGUGCUGAAAGCAUCUAAGCAUGAAGCCCCCCUCAAGAUGAGAUUUCCCAACUUCGGUUAUAAGAUCCCUCAAAGAUGAUGAGGUUAAUAGGUUCGAGGUGGAAGCGUGGUGACACGUGGAGCUGACGAAUACUAAUCGAU